UACGUAGGGUGCGAGCGUUGUCCGGAAUUACUGGGCGUAAAGAGCUCGUAGGUGGUUUGUCGCGUUGUCCGUGAAAACUCACAACUCAAUUGUGGGCGUGCGGGCGAUACGGGCAGACUGGAGUACUGCAGGGGAGACUGGAAUUCCUGGUGUAGCGGUGGAAUGCGCAGAUAUCAGGAGGAACACCCGUGGCUAAGGCGGCUCUCUAGUACGGUACUGACGCUGAGACGCGAAAGCGUGGGGAGCGAACAGG
rnacentral:rRNA from 1 species